UUGAGCCGGAUGCAUUGAAAGGUGCACGUCCGGUUCUUAGAAGAGGGAGAGCGAGUAAUCGCUCUUUCUUAUUCAAC
rfam:Methanosarcina sp. Ant1 MSANT_contig000065, whole genome shotgun sequence.